rnacentral:sRNA from 1 species
UGGCCAAGGAAGUGGCUGCCUCCACAGG